rnacentral:misc_RNA from 1 species
UCCGAGUUGACCCCGGCAGUCUCCUACGAGUCCCCGGCAUAACCCGCUGGCAACAUAGGACAAGGGUUGCGCUCGUUGCGGGACUUAACCCAACAUCUCACGACACGAGCUGACGACAGCCAUGCACCACCUGCACACAGGCCACAAGGGAACGACUAUCUCUAGCCGCGUCCUGUGCAUGUCAAACCCAGGUAAGGUUUUUCGCGUUGCAUCGAAUUAAUCCACAUAAUCCACCGCUUGUGCGGAUCCCCGUCAAUUCCUUUGAGUUUUAACCUUGCGACCGUACUCCCCAGGCGGGGCACUUAAUGCGUUAGCUGCGGCACCCAGGGGGUCAAUACCCCGGACACCUAGUGCCCAUCGUUUACAGCGUGGACUAC